GCACGCGUAGCUCAGGGGAUUAGAGCGUCGGUCUCCGGAACCGAAGGUCGCAGGUUCGAUUCCUGCCGCGUGUACAA
rnacentral:tRNA from 1 species